CUUGAGAGGGCGACCGGCCACACUGGGACUGAGACACGGCCCAGACUCCUACGGGAGGCAGCAGUGGGGAAUAUUGCACAAUGGGCGCAAGCCUGAUGCAGCGACGCCGCGUGAGGGAUGACGGCCUUCGGGUUGUAAACCUCUUUCAGCAGGGAAGAAGCGAAAGUGACGGUACCUGCAGAAGAAGCGCCGGCUAACUACGUGCCAGCAGCCGCGGUAAUACGUAGGGCGCAAGCGUUGUCCGGAAUUAUUGGGCGUAAAGAGCUCGUAGGCGGUUUGUCGCGUCUGCUGUGAAAACCUGAGGCUCAACCUCGGGCUUGCAGUGGGUACGGGCAGACUAGAGUGCGGUAGGGGUGACUGGAAUUCCUGGUGUAGCGGUGGAAUGCGCAGAUAUCAGGAGGAACACCGAUGGCGAAGGCAGGUCACUGGGCCGCAACUGACGCUGAGGAGCGAAAGCAUGGGGAGCGAACAGGAUUAGAUACCCUGGUAGUCCAUGCCGUAAACGUUGGGCACUAGGUGUGGGGCUCAUUCCACGAGUUCCGUGCCGCAGCAAACGCAUUAAGUGCCCCGCCUGGGGAGUACGGCCGCAAGGCUAAAACUCAAAGAAAUUGACGGGGGCCCGCACAAGCGGCGGAGCAUGCGGAUUAAUUCGAUGCAACGCGAAGAACCUUACCAAGGCUUGACAUACACCGGAAACUUCCAGAGAUGGUUGCCCCGCAAGGUCGGUGUACAGGUGGUGCAUGGUUGUCGUCAGCUCGUGUCGUGAGAUGUUGGGUUAAGUCCCGCAACGAGCGCAACCCUCGUCCUAUGUUGCCAGCGGGUUAUGCCGGGGACUCAUAGGAGACUGCCGGGGUCAACUCGGAGGAAGGUGGGGAUGACGUCAAAUCAUCAUGCCCCUUAUGUCUUGGGCUUCACGCAUGCUACAAUGGCCGGUACAAAGGGCUGCGAUACCGCGAGGUGGAGCGAAUCCCAAAAAGCCGGUCUCAGUUCGGAUUGGGGUCUGCAACUCGACCCCAUGAAGUCGGAGUCGCUAGUAAUCGCAGAUCAGCAGCGCUGCGGUGAAUACGUUCCCGGGCCUUGUACACACCGCCCGUCAAGUCACGAAAGUCGGUAACACCCGAAGCCGGUGGCCCAACCCUUGUGGAGGGAGCUGUCGAAGGUGGGACUGGCGAUUGGGACUAAGUCGUAACAAGGUAGCCGUACCGGAAGGUGCGGCUG
rnacentral:rRNA from 1 species